AAGACUAUAGACCUGCGGAGUACCUGCGGAAGGAUCAUUAUAGAGUGGUAAACCUCCCGUAAAAAGGGGGGGACCUCCCGUCCUUUGCAGGCUCUUUUUUAAGGGGCUUUUUUGACUUUCUGCUUCGGUGGGGUUAUCCUACCGGAACAACUUCAAAACUCUGAAUCAAAAAAAUCGUUCUGUCCGAGGGCUUUUUUAUAAAAUAAAAAAAAACUUUCAACAACGGAUCUCUAGAUCGGA
rnacentral:misc_RNA from 1 species